rnacentral:sRNA from 1 species
CUGAGAUGAAAUGAAUACUUGAGCUUCAUCAGUGAGAAAAAACACCUCUCCGAGCCAUGUGAGCCCCCUGAUGCCACCGAGCAGGGGCAGCUUCAUGACCGACGUCUGGCUGAGGCUGUGGCGGACACUCUCGGGGUUGUCUGCAGGAGAGCAAGCCAGGAGGACAUGGGCCUGGACGACACGGCCUCGCAGCAAAGUGUGUCAGACGAGCAGUGACGGGCGUGCGGCCGGGCGGGGAGGCGGCUCCCCCACACCUCCCACCUGCAUUGCUCUCCCUCGUGCUCCCCAAAUCACAACCAACCACUACCGCGAUCCAUGAGGGACUCCUCCUGUGGAAAAGGAGAGCUGUUCCAGAACACAGAACUGAUCUCAGGUUUUU